rnacentral:rRNA from 1 species
AUCAUUAACUGAAUCCAUAGGUUAAUGAGGCGAACCGGGGGAACUGAAACAUCUAAGUACCCCGAGGAAAAGAAAUCAACCGAGAUUCCCCCAGUAGCGGCGAGCGAACGGGGAGGAGCCCAGAGCCUGAAUCAGUGUGUGUGUUAGUGGAAGCGUCUGGAAAGGCGCGCGAUACAGGGUGACAGCCCCGUACACAAAAAUGCACAUACUGUGAGCUCGAUGAGUAGGGCGGGACACGUGGUAUCCUGUCUGAAUAUGGGGGGACCAUCCUCCAAGGCUAAAUACUCCUGACUGACCGAUAGUGAACCAGUACCGUGAGGGAAAGGCGAAAAGAACCCCGGCGAGGGGAGUGAAAAAGAACCUGAAACCGUGUACGUACAAGCAGUGGGAGCCUCUUAAUGGGGUGACUGCGUACCUUUUGUAUAAUGGGUCAGCGACUUAUAUUCUGUAGCAAGGUUAACCGAAUAGGGGAGCCGAAGGGAAACCGAGUCUUAACUGGGCGUUAAGUUGCAGGGUAUAGACCCGAAACCCGGUGAUCUAGCCAUGGGCAGGUUGAAGGUUGGGUAACACUAACUGGAGGACCGAACCGACUAAUGUUGAAAAAUUAGCGGAUGACUUGUGGCUGGGGGUGAAAGGCCAAUCAAACCGGGAGAUAGCUGGUUCUCCCCGAAAGCUAUUUAGGUAGCGCCUCGUGAAUUCAUCUCCGGGGGUAGAGCACUGUUUCGGCAAGGGGGUCAUCCCGACUUACCAACCCGAUGCAAACUGCGAAUACCGGAGAAUGUUAUCACGGGAGACACACGGCGGGUGCUAACGUCCGUCGUGAAGAGGGAAACAACCCAGACCGCCAGCUAAGGUCCCAAAGUCAUGGUUAAGUGGGAAACGAUGUGGGAAGGCCCAGACAGCCAGGAUGUUGGCUUAGAAGCAGCCAUCAUUUAAAGAAAGCGUAAUAGCUCACUGGUCGAGUCGGCCUGCGCGGAAGAUGUAACGGGGCUAAACCAUGCACCGAAGCUGCGGCAGCGACACUAUGUGUUGUUGGGUAGGGGAGCGUUCUGUAAGCCUGUGAAGGUGUACUGUGAGGUAUGCUGGAGGUAUCAGAAGUGCGAAUGCUGACAUAAGUAACGAUAAAGCGGGUGAAAAGCCCGCUCGCCGGAAGACCAAGGGUUCCUGUCCAACGUUAAUCGGGGCAGGGUGAGUCGACCCCUAAGGCGAGGCCGAAAGGCGUAGUCGAUGGGAAACAGGUUAAUAUUCCUGUACUUGGUGUUACUGCGAAGGGGGGACGGAGAAGGCUAUGUUGGCCGGGCGACGGUUGUCCCGGUUUAAGCGUGUAGGCUGGUUUUCCAGGCAAAUCCGGAAAAUCAAGGCUGAGGCGUGAUGACGAGGCACUACGGUGCUGAAGCGACAAAUGCCCUGCUUCCAGGAAAAGCCUCUAAGCAUCAGGUAACAUCAAAUCGUACCCCAAACCGACACAGGUGGUCAGGUAGAGAAUACCAAGGCGCUUGAGAGAACUCGGGUGAAGGAACUAGGCAAAAUGGUGCCGUAACUUCGGGAGAAGGCACGCUGAUAUGUAGGUGAAGCGACUUGCUCGUGGAGCUGAAAUCAGUCGAAGAUACCAGCUGGCUGCAACUGUUUAUUAAAAACACAGCACUGUGCAAACACGAAAGUGGACGUAUACGGUGUGACGCCUGCCCGGUGCCGGAAGGUUAAUUGAUGGGGUUAGCGGUAACGCGAAGCUCUUGAUCGAAGCCCCGGUAAACGGCGGCCGUAACUAUAACGGUCCUAAGGUAGCGAAAUUCCUUGUCGGGUAAGUUCCGACCUGCACGAAUGGCGUAAUGAUGGCCAGGCUGUCUCCACCCGAGACUCAGUGAAAUUGAACUCGCUGUGAAGAUGCAGUGUACCCGCGGCAAGACGGAAAGACCCCGUGAACCUUUACUAUAGCUUGACACUGAACAUUGAGCCUUGAUGUGUAGGAUAGGUGGGAGGCUUUGAAGUGUGGACGCCAGUCUGCAUGGAGCCGACCUUGAAAUACCACCCUUUAAUGUUUGAUGUUCUAACGUGGGCCCCUUACCGGGGUUGCGGACAGUGUCUGGUGGGUAGUUUGACUGGGGCGGUCUCCUCCUAAAGAGUAACGGAGGAGCACGAAGGUUGGCUAAUCCUGGUCGGACAUCAGGAGGUUAGUGCAAUGGCAUAAGCCAGCUUGACUGCGAGCGUGACGGCGCGAGCAGGUGCGAAAGCAGGUCAUAGUGAUCCGGUGGUUCUGAAUGGAAGGGCCAUCGCUCAACGGAUAAAAGGUACUCCGGGGAUAACAGGCUGAUACCGCCCAAGAGUUCAUAUCGACGGCGGUGUUUGGCACCUCGAUGUCGGCUCAUCACAUCCUGGGGCUGAAGUAGGUCCCAAGGGUAUGGCUGUUCGCCAUUUAAAGUGGUACGCGAGCUGGGUUUAGAACGUCGUGAGACAGUUCGGUCCCUAUCUGCCGUGGGCGCUGGAGAACUGAGGGGGGCUGCUCCUAGUACGAGAGGACCGGAGUGGACGCAUCACUGGUGUUCGGGUUGUCAUGCCAAUGGCACUGCCCGGUAGCUAAAUGCGGAAGAGAUAAGUGCUGAAAGCAUCUAAGCACGAAACUUGCCCCGAGAUGAGUUCUCCCUGACUCCUUGAGAGUCCUGAAGGAACGUUGAAGACGACGACGUUGAUAGGCCGGGUGUGUAAGCGCAGCGAUGCGUUGAGCUAACCGGUACUAAUGAACCGUGAGGCUUAACCUUACAACGCCGAAG